GACGAACGCUGGCGGCGUGCUUAACACAUGCAAGUCGAGCGGUAAGGCCCUUUCGGGGUACGACGAGCGGCGAACGGGUGAGUAACACGUGGGUGACCUGCCCUCAGCUCUGGGAUAAGCCUGGGAAACCGGGUCUAAUACCGGAUAUGACUCCAUGACGCAUGUUGUGGGGUGGAAAGCCUUGUGCGGCUGAGGAUGGGCCCGCGGCCUAUCAGCUUGUU
rnacentral:rRNA from 1 species